rnacentral:rRNA from 1 species
GACGAACGCUGGCGGCUUGCUUAACACAUGCAAGUCGAACGGAAAGGCCCUGCUUUUGUGGGGUGCUCGAGUGGCGAACGGGUGAGUAACCCGUUAGUAACCUUCCCUUUACUUUGGGAUAACUUCCGGAAACUGGGGCUAAUACCGGAUAGGAGCUCCUGCUGCAUGGUUGGGGUUGGAAAGUUUCGGCUGUUGGGGAUGGACUCGCGGCUUAUCAGCUUGUUGGUGGGGUAGUGGCUUACCAAGGCUUUGACGGGUAGCCGGCCUGAGAGGGUUAACGGCCACAUUGGGACUGAGAUACGGCCCAGACUCCUACGGGAGGCAGCAGUGGGGAAUAUUGCACAAUGGGCGGAAGCCUGAUGCAGCAACGCCGCGUGCGGGAUGACGGCCUUCGGGUUGUAAACCGCUGUCGCCUGUGACGAAGCGUGAGUGACGGUAAUGGGUAAAGAAGCACCGGCUAACUACGUG